GACUGGUCCAAAGGUAGUGAGUUACCUCAAUUGUUCACAGUCAGUUAUAAAUACAAUUUCUUGUUCUGUUCUUUUCCCUUUCUCACUACUGCACUCAACUAGUCUUAA
rnacentral:Y_RNA from 1 species